GAUGAACGCUAGCUACAGGCUUAACACACUGCAAGUCGAGGGGCAGCAUGAAGUCAGCUUGCUGACUUUGAUGGCGACCGGCGCACGGGUGAGUAACGCGUAUCCAACCUUCCCCUUACUCAGGAAUAGCCCGUUGAAAGACGGAUUAAUGCCUGAUGUUCUCAUUUUCUGGCAUCAUGGAAUGAGCAAAGAUUCAUCGGUAAGGGAUGGGGAUGCGUAUGAUUAGCUUGUUGGCGGGGUAACGGCCCACCAAAGGCGACGAUCAUUAGGGGUUCUGAGAGGAAGGUCCCCCACACUGGAACUGAGACACGGUCCAGACUCCUACGGGAGGCAGCA
rnacentral:rRNA from 1 species